CCAAAUGGGCCAGUGCAAAUCCUACUUGGAUAACUGUGGUAAUUCCAGAGCUAAUACAUGCAACUGAUAUCCCGAAGGCGGUGCUUGUGCUUGCUUGCCUUGCGCUUGCGCUGCUCUGACGGAUGCUUUUAUUAGACCAAGCCGCUGAGGACUUGAGGGUUCGCGCUCUCUUGUUUGACUCGUGUGAUGGUGACUCUGGAUAACCAAAUUCUGACAAGCGCACGUACUUCUCUUCUGAGCGAGACGGCGCUGCCACUUUCGAGUGUCUGCCUUAUCAGCUAUCAACCGUUCGUUAUGCGCGACCGAUGGCUUUGACGGGUAACGGGGAAUCAGGGUUCGAUUCCGGAGAGGCAGCCUGAGAGACGGCUACCACGUCCAAGGACGGCAGCAGGCACGCAAAUUACCCAAUCCCAGCAAAUGGGGGAGGUAGUGACGAAAUCUAACGAUGCGGGCGCCCUUUCUGGGGCCCCGCAAUCGGAAUGGGCACUUUCUAAACAACCUGUUGAGAACCUACUGAAGG
rnacentral:rRNA from 1 species